rnacentral:lncRNA from 1 species
UUUUUUUCUUUUUUUUUUUUUUUUUUUCGAAACAGGGUUUCUCUGUGUAGCCCUGGCUGUACUGGAACUCACUUUGUAGACCAGGCUGUCCUGGAACUCAGAAAUCCACCUGCCUCUGCCUCCCAAGUACUGGGAUUAAAGGCAUGCCCCACCACUGCCUGGCUAUAGCUAGCAUUUUCAAAGGCUACAAUUCAGUACACAAGAAUCGUUGAGGGCUGAGCAAAGGUGUCCCAAACAGUUAGUACAGCCUCAUUUAUGUCAUACAUCCACAUUCCUCCCUAGGGGAAGCAUAUGCUUGCUUUUUAUGUUUCAUCCAAAAAUGUAUAAAAAUCACAUCACAUUUGAAUAAUCAAAUUUACAGCCUUAAAGGCACAUUUAUUUAUUCAUUGAUUGUGUGCAUAUACAUUUGUGUGAGUGCACAUAUGUACAUGGGUCUACCCUGAAGGCACAAACUAUGAAGAUCUGAGGACAACUUGCUAGCAUCAAAUUUGGAUUGUCAGGCCUAGUAGCAAGUGCCUUAGCUUACUGAAUCAUCUUGUUGUCCCUGAAUCAUCAAAUUGUUAAGAAUAAUGUGUUAUUUAAGACUUUCCUUUAUCCCCACCCCUAACACACACAGGGGUUGAUAUAACCUAAUGAAAUAAAUUUAUUUUUUGGAAUUAUUUUUUAUAAUGGUAUUUUAUUAUAAUGAAAUUAUUAUUAUAGUGGUUAUAAUUAUAAAUGAAGGUUUUUAAGGGAGGAGGUAGGUCAUUUCCGCUCCUUUGUUUUUGUUGUUGUUGUUAGUGGUGGUGUUUGUUUGUUUGUUUGUUUUAUAGGAGUUGGGGGUAGUAAGAAAAUAUAACAAAACCAUACUAAAAUGAAAACAGGAAAGGUCACCCACACCACAAACUUUGAAUCAUGCCACAGACAAAGACACCUCCACUUCUUUUCAGGCAGAAUGAGAGAAACAGAAGCGACUAGAAUAUAUGUUCAAAGUAAUGGCCAUCUUCACCAAGCCCAUAAUGCAAUGCUCUGUUGUACGUCUGGAUGCAUAGUAACUGGUCUUCAUCCCACACUUCCCACAUCUCUCCAGUGGAUUCUGCCAUCCAUCUGGCUUCAUGCCAAAACAGCAUGGCUCAUGUAUGCAUCACUCCAGAGAACUGUCUCUGUAUAAGUAAGCUACAUUAAGGGACAGAUCAUUUUUAGGCAAUUCAUUAUAAAUAAUGUGUGCUCUUAAAAUCAGAAUAUGUAUUUAGUAGCAGUGUUAGUAGCUAGAAAAGAUCUUGAAGGAGAAGAAGCUGACUGAAAACAGACACAUCAACAUUACAGCCAAUGCACGUGUGAGCAGCUAUGGUGAUUCUCAAUGGCAGCCACACAGCCCGUGGCUUGCGAUGAUCCAAAGGAUGCCUAGGAGAGCCAAAAUGGGAUGCUACUUUUGCCAAAGAAGAACAAUAUGCUGUAAAAUCUGUUAUGGAUCUGGUAUGUCUGGUUUGGGGUCUGUUAGUAACACAAUGGCCAUGAAAGUGGCUUGGCAAUUAAUGCUGGAUGUGAUAAGCUGAAGAGGGUCCACCAAAAGAUGGCCAAACUGGACUCUGUACAGGUUUCAUUAUUCGGAGAAAAGGUCCUUCAAAUGUGAUUGACUUAAAGAUCUAAAGGUCAAGAUUAUACUGCAGUCUCUAUUUAGUCCCUAAGUAUAGUCAUGUUUGCUUAAGAGAGGAAAACCUGUUAUAGAAUGAAGCACACAGAGAGAAUUUGAUGGCAGUAGGAAUGUUGGGGCCAAUGAACACUGGUCUGGACUUCCCCUGGGGCCUCUGGAGAAAACAUUUUGACAUCCAUUUGCCCUGAAUUGUGAAAAAACAAAGUUUUCUUGUUUUAAGGCACCAGAUUUAUGCUGGUCCUGCAUGCGUGGGUAACUAAGCCCACACUGCUAGACUUAAAAAUGAUCUCCUCAAAAGAUAAUCCUGUUUUCCUGGGACCUGUAAAUGUUACCUUGGAAACAUCUUAAAAAUGGGUCUUUCUAGGUGUGAUUUUUCAUGGGCUAUCUGGUAAGGGCCCUAAUGUAUCAUUUCCUGAAAGGUAAACAGAGAUUUGGUCCAGACAGAAGUAAAGAUAGUCAGAUACAAAGGAAGCCCUUGUGGAGACAGAAGAAGAGAUUAGAGCAAUGUAGCCAUGGGCCAAGGAAUGCUGACAGCUUUGGGAGCUUGCUUGGCAUGAGUAGAGUCUCCCCUGGAGCCUUUCUUUCUGACACCUUGCUUCCAACAUCACAAACCCAUUUUCAGCCUUCAUUUCUCCAGUCAGGAAAUUAGCAGUAAUGUGUUACAUCCCCCCAUAGGACAUUGAUGGUAUUUAUCUUUAAAGAACCUUAGAGAAGGCACUUAAGAGCUCAUGCAUGUCACAGAGGCAGCCAUGUGUCCCACUCAGCCGGACGAGCCAAAUCGACCCCGACUUCCACCAGCGCUCAGUGCCAUGGCCAAGUGGCCCUCACAGACUCCUUGUUUAUUCUUCCUGCUUUCCAGAUACUUCAAACCUAAGGUGAUGCCUUGUUCCCUCUGACAGGCCCAAGGGAUCCUCCUGCUAGUAGUGUUUGCCCCCACAUAUAGUGUAAACAUCUUCAUUAAAGAAAUGUGGGGACUAGAUAGAUUAAGAAAAACGUGGUCAUCUUCAACAAAAUUCAUUUUUCAUCAUUAUCAGCACACAUUAUUUUAAAAAUUAAGGUUAUAACACUUAUUACAGUUUUAUGUUUGCUACUUAACAUUGCUUGGGGUUUUUGUUUCUUUCUUUUUAAGUGUGCUACUCUGUUUGGUACUCAAAAAGAACGCUAAACAAUUCUUUGGUGACUUAUUAAAUAAAAAAUCUAAAUAUCGUUAUUCAGAGGCAUUAUACUUAUGCAGUUGUACCUCCCUAACAGGGUAAAAUUGAGGAAGCAGUGAACGCAUUUGAAGAACUGGUUCGAAAGUACCCUCAGAGCCCACGAGCAAGAUAUGGCAAAGCGCAGGUACCCUAGGCCCAUCUCACCAGAACACUGUUCUGGCAUUCACAUGUUUUAUAUAAUCAGAUUUUUCACUCUUUUGUAUUUGCUUUUUUCAUCUGCUCUUCUUAUAAUUUCUUUAUAAUCAGUUUCCUAGUUAUAUACAUACACCCCCAGAAUUGGGAGUGCCAUUUUAUUUAAGGCUGUUUUCAAUACUGUGUGCUAAUGAGUCCUGUAACACCCAGGUGACUUAUUUUGCCAUUGGUCCUGUGUCAGUGUAUCUCCCUUCUAUUUGAAUUUCCUUGUGGUUUUGAUUUCAGGCUCCUUGGAGCUUUUAGAUACCAUUGUGUGACUAAAGAGUGUAAAUCUGCCUUGGAGAGACCUUUUGAAAUGUGACAUGGACAGCACAUUGUUUCUUGACAGUUUCUUGGGUGUGACUCAUGUCUUACCAGCCACCUCCUUUCUUUCCCCAUCACCUCCUCGGCUGUGUUUUGUCAUCUUCCAACUCUUGUCACAAGGCUUGCCACACUUACCUGCAACUUCACGAACCCACCUGUGUGGCAAUGUCUAGUUUGCAUUUGUGUGAUAGUCAGAUAUGGCCACAAAAGAGGAUAUAGAAAUGGCUCAACAUAAAAUGGCUUAUUUUUGUCUUGACCUAAAGAUAGGAAGUGGGUUCCCUGGACACUGCCACAGGAAAGAUGGCAGGAAGGAAGACAAACCUGGAAGGAAGGUUUCACGUGAUCCUUUGGGGCUGGCCGUGAGAAAAGUAAUGGAAGGUGCAGUGCCCAGCGUGGGAUUGCCUGGUUUGAACAACACUGGCAAGCCUGGGCCACAGGAAUGGCUUCUAGUUGUUGAGCAUCUGACCCUGGCAUGAGGAAGGCAAAGGGUGUGGCCUCCUAUGCUGUGGGCCAGAGUGAGAAGGCCAGACUCUGGGCUGCAGGGAUUGUAUUAUAAGGGCUUGUUUGCUGUUUUGCCCUCUCUCAGACAGCAAGCCCUAGAAAUGUUCUGAGGUGCUGAGUGUUAUAAAACAGUCAAUUUUAAAAAGUUCCCAAUAUAGCAGAAGGAACACCUGAGGACGACUUACACUGAGGAAAUGUAGUGAGAGCCCACUGUGUGUCAGGCUCUGCUGGGUAUUGGAGUUAUGUUCCUCAGCAAAAAUGUACUCACACAGUUCCAUUGUGAAGGAAAGAGGUUGGCUAAGGUAAGAAGUACCAUGCAUACACUUGCAAGUGGUGACUGUCAGGAGACAGGGAACAGCCAGUAGAUAUGUGAGGGGAUUACCAGAAAGGGCCAUCAGAAAGGUAAUAUUUAAGUAAAGCCUUGGAAAAUUUUAUAAAUGAAUAUAUUGUUGAAUCUUACAAAGUAUUAAAAAUGAAUAAAUAUUAUACCUAACAACGCAUUCUGUAGGC